rnacentral:rRNA from 2 species
GGAUAGGUAGGAGCCUGAGAAGCCGGAGCGCUAGCUUCGGUGGAGGCGUCGGUGGGAUACUACCCUGGCUGUAUUGAAAUUCUAACCCGCGGCCCUUAUCGGGCCGGGAGACAGUGUCAGGUGGGCAGUUUGACUGGGGCGGUCGCCUCCUAAAAUGUAACGGAGGCGCCCAAAGGUUCCCUCAGAAUGGUUGGAAAUCAUUCGUAGAGUGUAAAGGCACAAGGGAGCUUGACUGCGAGACCUACAAGUCGAGCAGGGACGAAAGUCGGGCUUAGUGAUCCGGUGGUUCCGCAUGGAAGGGCCAUCGCUCAACGGAUAAAAGCUACCCCGGGGAUAACAGGCUUAUCUCCCCCAAGAGUCCACAUCGACGGGGAGGUUUGGCACCUCGAUGUCGGCUCAUCGCAUCCUGGGGCUGUAGUCGGUCCCAAGGGUUGGGCUGUUCGCCCAUUAAAGCGGUACGCGAGCUGGGUUCAGAACGUCGUGAGACAGUUCGGUCCCUAUCCGUCGUGGGCGUAGGAAAUUUGAGAGGAGCUGUCCUUAGUACGAGAGGACCGGGAUGGACACACCGCUGGUGUACCAGUUGUCUUGCCAAAGGCAUCGCUGGGUAGCUAUGUGUGGAMGGGAUAAGUGCUGAAAGCAUCUAAGCAUGAAGCCCCCCUCAAGAUGAGAUUUCCCAUAGCGCAAGCUAGUAAGAUCCCUGAAAGAUGAUCAGGUUGAUAGGUCAGAGGUGGAAGCGUGGCGACAUGUGUAGCUGACUGAUACUAAUCGAUCGAGGACUUAACCAAA